rnacentral:rRNA from 1 species
GACGAACGCUGGCGGCGUGCUUAACACAUGCAAGUCGAACGGAAAGGCCCUGCUUUUGUGGGGUGCUCGAGUGGCGAACGGGUGAGUAACACGUGAGUAACCUGCCCUUGACUUUGGGAUAACUUCAGGAAACUGGGGCUAAUACCGGAUAGGAGCUCCUGCUGCAUGGUGGGGGUUGGAAAGUUUCGGCGGUUGGGGAUGGACUCGCGGCUUAUCAGCUUGUUGUUUGGGUAGUGGCUUACCAAGGCUUUGACGGGUAGCCGGCCUGGGAGGGUGACCGGCCACAUUGGGACUGAGAUACGGCGCAGACUCCUACGGGUGGCAGCUGUGGGGAAUAUUGCACAAUGGGCGGCAGCCGGAUGCAGCAACGCCGCGUGCGGGAUGACGGCCUUCGGGUUGUAAACCGCUUUCGCCUGUGACGAAGCGUGAGUGACGGUAAUGGGUAAAGAAGCACCGGCUAACUACGUG